rnacentral:rRNA from 1 species
CCUACGGGAGGCUGCAGUGGGGAAUAUUGGGCAAUGGGCGCAAGCCUGACCCAGCAACGCCGCGUGAAGGAAGAAGGCUUUCGGGUUGUAAACUUCUGUUCUGAGGGACGAAGAAAGUGACGGUACCUCAGGAAUAAGCCACGGCUAACUACGGGCCAGCAGCCGCGGUAAUACGUAGGGGGCAAGCGUUAUCCGGAUUUAUUGGGUGUAAAGGGCGUGUAGGCGGGAAAGCAAGUCAGAUGUGAAAACUCAGGGCUCAACCCUUAGCCUGCAUUUGAAACUGUUUUUCUUGAGUGCUGGAGAGGCAAUCGGAAUUCCUUGUGUAGCGGUGAAAUGCGUAGAUAUACGGAGGAACACCAGUGGCGACGGCGGAUUGCUGGACAGUAACUGACGCUGAGGCGCGAAAGCGUGGGGAGCAAACAGGAUUAGAUACCCUAGUAGUC